rnacentral:rRNA from 1 species
UACGGAGGUGGCAAGCGUUGCUCGGAAUCACUGGGCGUAAAGGGCGCGUAGGCGGGGAGGUAAGUCGGGUGUGAAAUCCCUCGGCCCAACCGAGGAACUGCGCCCGAGACUGCUUCUCUUGAGUCCCGGAGAGGAAGAUGGAAUUCCCGGUGUAGCGGUGAAAUGUGUAGAGAUCGGGAGGAACACCCGUAGCGAAGGCGGCACUCUGGGCCGAUACUGACACUGAGGAGCGAAAGCGUGGGGAGCGAACAGG